UCCGAUGUUGGCUGUGCGCAAGGCACUUUCGGGUGCGCCGAUAACCGGCGGCCGGCGACUGAUCCGCGUGCAGCCGCCGCCCUG
rnacentral:misc_RNA from 1 species